ensembl:processed_transcript Ptprv protein tyrosine phosphatase, receptor type, V
GGUGAGGAAGGUUUCUGAGGUUAGUAAGAGGCCCUGGCAUUCAGAAAAUGAGCACAGCCCUUUCACCACCCUCCCCAGGGUGCAGAGCAAAAACAGAGGCACGUGAAGCAGCUGCAGUUCACGACCUGGCCAGACCACAGUGUCCCCGAGGCUCCCAGCUCUCUGCUUGCUUUUGUGGAACUGGUGCAGGAGGAGGUGAAGGCAACUCAGGGCAAGGGGCCCAUCCUGGUGCAUUGCAGUGCGGGUGUGGGCAGGACAGGCACCUUUGUGGCUCUCUUACGCCUGUUGCGACAACUAGAGGAAGAACAGGUGGUCGAUGUGUUCAACACUGUGUACAUACUCCGGCUGCACCGGCCCCUCAUGAUCCAGACCUUGAGUCAAUACAUCUUCCUGCACAGCUGCCUGCUGAACAAGAUUCUGGAAGGGCCCUCUGACGCCUCAGACUCCGGCCCCAUCCCUGUGAUGAAUUUUGCACAAGCUUGUGCCAAGAGGGCAGCCAAUGCCAAUGCCGGUUUCUUGAAGGAGUACAGGCUCCUGAAGCAGGCCAUCAAGGAUGAGACUGGCUCUCUGCUGCCCUCUCCUGACUA